UACGUAGGGUGCGAGCGUUAAUCGGAAUUACUGGGCGUAAAGCGUGCGCAGGCGGCUCGUUGUGUCGGUGGUGAAAUCCCCGGGCUUAACCUGGGAAUGGCCAUGGAAACUGGCGAACUGGAGUGCGGCAGAGGGGGGUGGAAUUCCGCGUGUAGCAGUGAAAUGCGUAGAGAUGCGGAGGAACACCGAUGGCGAAGGCAGCCCCCCUGGGCUAGCACUGACGCUCAGGCACGAAAGCGUGGGGAGCAAACAGG
rnacentral:rRNA from 1 species